GGCUCAGGACUAGCGCUGGCGGUGUGUCUGAGACAUGCAAGUCGAGCGGAGCACAGUGUGGUAGCAAUACCGUGCUGUGCUCAGCGGCAAACGGGUGAGUAAUACAGGGGUAACCUCCCCCGGGGAGGAGCAUAACCCACCGAAAGGUGGGCUAAUUCUCCAUACUCUGUCCGGAAGGCAUCUUUCGGGCAGAAAAGGUGCCGCAAGGUGCCGCCCCGGGACGGGCUCCUGGUCUAUCAGCUUGAUGGCGGGGUAACGGCCCACCAUGGCUAAGACGGAUAGCUGGCGUGAGAGCGUGACCAGCCACAGGGGAACUGAGACACGGUCCCCACUCCUACGGGAGGCAGCAGUCUAGAAAUUUGGGCAAUGGGCGAAAGCCUGACCCAGCGACACCGCGUGGAGGACGAAGUCCUUCGGGAUGUAAACUCCUGUCAGGGGGAACGAUGCCCGUCCUCUGGACGGGUGACGGUACUCCCAGAGGAAGCCCCGGCUAACUACGUGCCAGCAGCCGCGGUAAGACGUAGGGGGCGAGCGCUGUCCGAAUUCACUGUGCGGUAAAGGGUGUGUAAAGGGUGUGGUUAGCCGACUGACGGUUCGUGAGUGAAGCCCCUGCUUCACCGGGGAAUUGCUCACGAACUUAUCAGCUUGAGGGCAGGAGAGGGAGCUUGGAAACUUCCGUGUAGCGGUUAAAUUGCGUGGAUAUCGGAAGGAACACCGAUGGCGAAGGCAGGCUUCUUGGAAUGUUCCUUGACGCUGAAACACGAAAGCUAGGGGAGCAAACAGGAUUUAGAUACCCUGGUAGUCCUUAGCCGUAAACGAUGCACGCUAGGUGCAGGUAUUUUUGCCUGUACUGCAGCUAACGCGUUAAGUGUGCCGCCUGGAGACUACGGCCGCAAGGUUGAAACUCAAAGGAAUUGACGGGGACCCGCACAAGCGGUGGAGGAUGUGGUUUAAUUCGAUGCUACGCGAAGAACCUUACCUGGGUUUGACAUGCCGGUGGUAGUGACCCGAAAGGGAAGCGACCCGGGAUUUUCCCGGGAGCCGGCACAGGUGCUGCAUGGCUGUCGUCAGCUCGUGCCGUGAGGUGUAUGGUUAAGUCCCGCAACGAGCGCAACCCCUGCCCUUAGUUGCUAACCCGCAAGGGUGCACUCUAAGGGGACUGCCUCCGUCAAGGAGGAGGAAGGUGGGGAUGACGUCAAGUCAGCAUGGCCUUUAUGCCCAGGGCUACACACGUCCUACAGUGGCCGUUACAAUGGGAUGCGACAUCGCGAGGUGGAGCAAAUCCUAUAAAAGCGGCCAUGGUUCGGAUUGCAGGCUGCAACCCGCCUGCAUGAAGAUGGAAUCGCUAGUAAUCGCAGAUCAGCAUGCUGCGGUGAAUACGUUCCCGGGUCUUGUACACACCGCCCGUCACGCCAUGGGAGCUGGCAAUACCUGAAGUC
rnacentral:rRNA from 1 species